rnacentral:lncRNA from 1 species
GGUUGAGGGGCGUGGUCUCGAGGCGGCAGGUGAGCGCGGCCUCCUGGGGCUGAGGACGGCUGCCCGCGCUGCCCUCCUGGGCGCCUCCGCCCCGUAACUAUCAGAGCAGGCAGCCAGCACCCACCCGGCCUGCAUCCCAAAGAUGAUCAUCACCACCUAAGCGAGGGAGCCUGUAAGUGAAGACCAGGGGCCACAGAGGCAAUGAAAACUUAUUCUAAGUGUGACACUUUCAACUCCCCUUACUCUACAACAAGCUCCAUCUUUGACCAGCACUAAGAGGAGUGGCCUCCGAUUCUGAUGUGUGACUGUUAAGAUGGCAGGAAUCAUCUCUUGGCCAGAUCAACACAGUGUGGGGGAACCAGGGAAAAAAAAUAAAGAGAAAACCGUGUCAGCAAAAACUGACAUGUAGAAGAGGAUUCUGGAGAAUGCUGAGAGGAAUUUGAAUAAUCAUUGUGGAGGAACACUGGCAGGAAGCGUGGAGGCUCAGGAAGGCCUGUGAACUGUAGACAGCACUCCUGAUUUUCUAGUGAUGUGGGCUGCUGAUACAACUAUUAAGCCUAUGAAGGAAAUCUAUGCAGCCCCUGCUGUUAAUCCAUCUGCAGAAAGUUUCAUAUGCCAGUUUUCUUAAUUAGGGUGGGCAGAGAGGGGCAUCCUGUUGAGAUUAAGUCCACAGCACAAUAAAGGAAGAAACUGUUUUUACUUAUUGGGCUGCUACCAAGAAAUGUGCUAAUUAUCAGGAUAGGAGAACAUUUUGUAUACGUGAUAAGUGAAAUUCUUAACAAACGAAUAGAUUGGAGGUGAUCUUUCAAAUUUUUAUUCAACAAGGAAGAGUGCAGCCUCCUGAGCGUGCUGAUAGAGCUAACUGUUCUGAGUGUAUUUAUUUGAUCUCUAACCCUGAUUUACUUAGAAUACCACUGUGCUAAAUUGUGUGAUGGACCUUUUAUUUCCAGCCUAAAAGGGCAUUUAUAUUAUUUUCAACUAAACGAAGAUAUGUUAUAGAAUUUUGUUAUUUAAGUGUGAAUGUCAUUUAUGCUUAUGUCAGAAAUUGAAGAACAUUUUGAAAUAUAGGAGGAUCUACACUAUCAUCACAAGAAAUGAUCAAUACCAUGGUAUCAGAAAUAAAUCUUAAUUGCAAUCUUUUCCUUUCAUCUCCUGAUUUCUUCACCCAUGUUGGUUCCUUAUAAUUUUAUGAUCUCUUCCGUUUUGAAAAAUAGGCCAAUAUGAAUAGUGUUUAUAAAGGGCCUCCAUCUCUCUAACAUUCAGUUGCUGUUUUAAUUACUUUUAACCUUUUGUAUUAUUUUGUUCCAAUAUUAAAUUCCUCCAUCGGCUUUUGUAAUUACAUUCAUCUGAUUUGUGGUUAAAGUAAAUAUGCAAAGAUUUAAAUUUUUUUGGUAUCUUAAACUUUCUCUUGACUACUUUCAGUAAUAUAGCUGAUGUGUUUGAUUUUUCCUUUAAAUGCCAUUUAUAAAUUAGCUCGACAGAAAGACUAAAUUUAUAAUUUGACCUUAAUUAUUAAUAUGUUUACUUCAUGUUUUCAUUAACACUUGGAGGAUAAAACAACAU